rnacentral:rRNA from 1 species
CUUGCAAGUCGAGUGAGCAGAACCAGCAGAUUUACUUCGGUAAUGAUGCUGGGGACGCGAGCGGCGGAUGGGUGAGUAACACGUGGGGAACCUGCCCCUUAGUCUGGGAUACCACUUGGAAACACGUGCUAAUACCGGAUAAGAAAGCAGAUCGCAUGAUCAGCUUAUAAAAGACGGCGUAAGCUGCCGCUAUGGGAUGGCCCCGCGGUCCAUUAGCUAGUUGGUAAGGUAACGGCUUACCAAGGCAAUGAUGCAUAGCCGAGUUGAGAGACUGAACGGCCACAUUGGGACUGAGACACGGCUCAAACUCCUACGGGAGGCAGCAGUAGGGAAUCUUCCACAAUGGACGCAAGUCUGAUGGAGCAACGCCCCGUGAGUGAAGAAGGUUUUCGGAUCGUAAAGCUGC